UGGAAAUCUUAAUGCCAUAAUGCCUUU
rnacentral:snRNA from 1 species